UACGGAGGGUGCAAGCGUUAUCCGGAUUCACUGGGUUUAAAGGGAGCGUAGGCGGGUUGGUAAGUCAGUGGUGAAAUCUUCAAGCUUAACUUGGAAACUGCCGUUGAUACUAUCAAUCUUGAAUAUUGUGGAGGUAAGCGGAAUAUGUCAUGUAGCGGUGAAAUGCUUAGAUAUGACAUAGAACACCAAUUGCGAAGGCAGCUCACUACACAAUCAUUGACGCUGAGGCACGAAAGCGUGGGGAUCAAACAGG
rnacentral:rRNA from 1 species